rnacentral:lncRNA from 1 species
UUGAGAUUUCAUAGGGUGGAUGUCUCUAAUAGAAUGAAGCAAAUUGUAGAGCAACUACGACCCAUGCGUCAAGAGGUUACGACCAUCCUGCGGGAUUGUAGGCUUAGAAUUGUUGCAGGCCCUGCCCAUAAUCGUCCCACCACAACCUCCGAAAGUCUAGAGCCAACAUUGCAUGGGAGAGACCAUAUGUUGAAUAGCAUCAUCCAUGACAUCACAAAGGGUAAAUAUUGUGGGCAGGAUCUGACUGUGCUUCCGCUGGUUGGCCCCGGAGGCAUAGGAAAGACAACUCUGACACAAUACAUACAUAAUGCACAAGAAGUGCAUAACCAUUUUCAUGUAGUGGUUUGGACAUGUGUAUCUGUUGAUUUCAACCCAAAUAAGUUGCUAGAAGAGAUUAAAGGAAAAAUCCCUGAAGUUGAAGGGGAAAAAGAGGGUGAAGUAGGGAAGGUGAUCGAACAAAGACUAAAAACUAAAAGGCUUUUACUUAUAUUAGAUGAUAUGUGGAAAUGUGGUGAUCGGGAGGAUUGGGAAAGGUGGCUGUUGCCAUUCAAAAAAUCACAAACAAAAGGUAGCAUGAUUCUAGUCACAACUCGGUUUCAAGCGCUAGCAGAAACAGUUAAAACAACCGGUGAUUAUAUAAAACUGGGAGGGUUAGAACCGCAAGAGUUUAGGAAGUUGUUCCUAUCAUAUAUCUUCGGUGAUGAGGAUUCUACAGAGGAUUACACUUACUUGCUCGAGACCGGAGAUAAGAUAAUAGAAAAACUAAAGGGGUCGCCUCUUGCGGCAAAAACUGUUGGUAGAUUACUGAGAGAUCAACUCGAUUUGCAUCAUUGGAAAAUGGUCCUUGAAAGUAAAGAAUGGGAGAAGCAAACUGGAAACCAUGACAUUAUGCCUGCCUUGAAACUUAGUUAUGACUAUCUCCCUUUCGAUAUCCAACAAUGUUUUUCCUAUUGUGCAUUAUUUCCUGAGGAUUACAAGUUCCGUAGCAAACAACUCAUUCACUUAUGGAUAGGACUCGAUAUUUUACAUUCUAGUGGCCAAACUAGAACAACAGAAGACAUAGGUCUGAGCAAUUUAAAUUAUUUGGUCACCCAUGGUUUUUUCCAACCAGUGGAGAGCCAUACUAUAUUAUCCAUGACCUACUACAUGAUUUAGCAUUGACGAUCAUGUCUCAUGAAUGUCUUAGCUUGAAUUUUCCAAAUGUAAGAUCGGUAGGAAUUCAUCCAUGCAUUCGUCACUUGUCCGUAACCAUUGAUAUUGUAGAUUAUAACAAGGCAAUGGCAAGUGAAAACAUGGAGACUGAACUGAGAAAACUAAAGACAAGAUUCAGCGUUGAAAAAUUGCAAACUUUGAUGGUGUUUGGAGAAAUGGAUGAAAGCAUUGCUAGUAUGUUUGGUGAUUUUCUUAGGGAAGCAAAUGCUCUUCGUGUUCUUUGCUUGUCCAAGAUGUGUAUUCCUGUUGAGUCUAUGUUACAUAAAUUUUCAACACUUGUCCACCUACGAUACCUAAGUCUAGGGACCAUGCUUAAGAUGUACUUACCAGAUACAAUCUCUAGAUUUUAUCAUUUAAAGAUUUUGGAUCUAGAAGGAUGGCGUGGAUACCAUGAUGUGCCUAGAGACAUGUGCAACCUUGCAAAAUUAUGUCAUGUUUCUACAGAACGUGAUGAGCUUCAUUCUUGUAUUUAUAAUGUGGGAAAAUUAAAACUCUUACAAGAGUUAAAGGCAUUUAAAGUCAACAAAGAAAAUGAAGGGUUUGAACAAAAGCAACUUGAGGAUUUGGUCGAGCUAAGGGAACUUGGCAUCUACAACCUUGAGAAAAUACAUACACAAGAAGAAGCAGCCAAAGCAAAACUAAUAAACAAAAACUACUUGCGUGUUCUAACAUUAUCUUGGGAUAGUGAGCAAACUAAUGCUAAGCCUGAGAAUGAAGGUUUGGUUCUUGAGAGUCUUCAACCACAUAGAAAUCUCCAAGAGUUAUACAUUAGAGGGAACAAAGGCCCUUCUUGUCCAACAUGGCUGGGUGAUAAAUUCGAUGUUGAAGCUCUAAAGUCUCUUCAUCUCUUUCGUGUUUCUUGGGAUGUCUUUCCUUCGUUUGGGAAGAUGUGGGAUCUCCGUGAACUAACACUCGAUCAUAUUUCCACAAUAAAGGAGUUUGGUCUAGAGGAAAGCCUCUGCAAAUUAUUAAACAAGAUUACACUCACCGGCUUAGGAAAUUUUGAAAAAUGGGUACCACAGCCGACUCAUUUCUUCCCUCAUUUGCAAGUACUGAUUAUCACAGGGUGCCCUAAACUCUCAGAGUUGCCAUUUUCAAGCCACAUUGUUUACCCACCGAAACAAGACUGGAACAUAGAUUUGUUUCCCAAGCUACAAGAGCUUAAGAUAGAAAAUUGCCCUGAAGUCUUGCUGCUGCCUCCUAUCCCUUGGACCCAAUCUUUGUGCUCUGUCGAGAUAAGUGAUGUGGGAUCGGAACUACUGGACAGGUUGAUCUACUCAAAAUCAUCUUCUGGAGUAGCAUUGUUAGUUUAUGCAAAGGAUGGCCUGUAUAACUUAGAUCAGGUGUUACUAUUCAGUCAACUAACCGAACUUCAGAAUUUGAUGAUCAAAAAUUGCCCACCUUUGGAGCUGAAGUAUUUUCUAAUGCUAACCUCAUUGAAGACAUUGUGGGCAUGGUCUUCAAAUCUUGGGGUGGUGGCAUCAGAAGUUCAGACUUGUGUAGAAUGGCAGCAUCCUAUCGAGUCCAUUGAAAUUCGGGCAUCUAGUUCUUGUGGAAAGGAAUUGACACAGUUCUUGUCUCACCUCCCAAAGCUAUCCAAACUGGAAGUACAUUCUUGUAUAAACGUAACACAGUUGGCUGUGGGGGUGGAUUUGCAGCAAACAACAGCACCGACAGUGUCAUCGUCAACCUCUUUAGAUGUUAUUACAAUGGAUGAUACACAAGCAAAAGAUGAGCAGCAAGAAAUAGCAGAGGUGGAGAAGGAGGAGGCAAACACGGUGGAUGAUGAUGGGCUGUUGCUCCUCCCUGCACAUCUCUCCAACUCUCUGCAGACGUUGUUCAUCAACAAUAGUAUUGGUGUGGUAGUUCAUUCCCUCGAAGCCCUCCAAGCCCUAACUAGACUUCAGUUAGAAUAUUGCUCUUUUCGCCACCCUUUCCCGUCCUCCCUGCUACACCUGAAACUUUCGUCCGUGAAGGGCGUGCUGACCCUUUCAAAUCUCACCUCUCUCACCCGAUUAGAAAUAUAUCGUUGCGGAGAGGAUUUUAGAUGCAAGGGCCUGUUGCCUCUCCUUACUCGGGGCCAGCUCAGCAGUUUAGAAGUCAUUGGAAGCCCCAGUUUCUUUGGUGGGUGGGAGUGGGAUCCCAAUGCCAUGCGGGGGAGGUCCUCCAAACUGCAGGAGGUCGAGACAGAUGACAUCCACGGCUUCCUCGGUGCGCCCGCCCUCUGUAGCCUCCUCUCUUCCUCCCUCACCGACUUGUCCUUUAUGGGGGACCAUGAGACGGCGCGCUUCAUAAACGAGCAGGAGGAGGCCUUUCAAUGCCUCACAUCGCUCCAGGUACUCCAGUUUUCGGGUUGUAAUAAGCUGGAACACCUCCCUGCAGCGCUAAACAAGCUGACCAACCUCAAGAGAUUAUGGAUCUCGUGUUGCCCAGCCCUCCGGUCACUGCCCAAGGACGGCCUCCCGAGUUCACUGCAAGAUUUAGAUGUCGAGGAUUGCGAGAACGAGGAGCUACCAGAGCACUGCAAGAGGUUAAUGGGAACCAUCCCAGAAAUCAGACUAUAGAGUAUAGACCAAUGGGUGGACACGGUCCUGGCCGGUCCGGUCCCGGUCCGAGCCGUCGUUUGGACCGGCCGCCGGCGCAGGUACGUGUCUCCCGCCACACCUCCAGCAGUACGCCCCCGCCAUGCCCCGCCAUGCUCGUGCCGUCCAGGCUGAGACCAAUCCAAGGUAACAGAUACUUCCUUGCCCGUGCCAAUUCCUUAUUUCCAUAAAUACUCCUUUUUUUCUGAUCACACACACAUGCCAGCUCGUUUUUCUUUUGGUGUGGUGUACCUCGUUACUGUGUAUCCUGAACAUCGUUUGUCUCCGUCGGCUGUGCAGCUGGUCUCUCCGUCUUGGAGUUGUACAUUCUUCUAGCCUUGUGGAAUUAUAUAUCCGCAUCUAUGGACAGUUGGCGUAUGUGAGAUCCUGUGGUAAUUUUUUAUGUCAAUACAUCUGGUAAGUAGAUGCAAAUUGUCUGAAAAGUAUCUAUAGUUAUCUGUCUGAUAAAAAUUGCCCCCAGUUAUCUUGAGCGCAUGAUUUUUAUUAAUAUACGAGUAUGUGAUUAGCAAUUGGAGGGCUUGUCUAUUCAACUGGAAAAUUAUUACCAUUAUGCUUAUGUAAAUUCGUCAGUACACCAAAUACGAGAGUCUGUUCCUAGCAGAAUAAAUAGUUAAAUACACAAAAGUGAGAUUUUUUUUCUUUUGUUUGUGCAAAAUUAACCUUGUUAACCUUAUCUAAGGAUAGUGUAUCUAUUUGUAUCUCUCCAGAGAUCAUGAGAAAUUUUAAUCAUUCACAAAACCUACCUUGUUUCUGUUUGGCAUAGCACAUGACUAGUUCUUUUUCCCCUCAGAUUCACCAUUGUUUUUUUGCUGCAGGUAUCCUUCAAUCCUUGUGUUUGUCAAGGAAACAAGUGAAGGGAGAAGAGGAAGUCCCAUUUCUUCAUCAAGUCGACGGACAGUCACGCAAGGUUGAACAUGAAAUUUGUACAAUCUCUUCAGUCUUAAUUCAGAGGAGCACUGGAUCUGCAUGGGUUUUCCAGAGAGCAGCAGUUUCAGAGCAGUGCAAUUUUGAAAAAGGGCCAUUUGAAUGGUGAAAACAAUGUUACCAUGGAACAUUGAUAGGUUGUACAGCAGCAAUGCUCUCAGUGUUUGUUUCGGCAUUGAUUUGCGAGAACUAAGCACCAUGUUGCAUCAUUGAGGAGCUAGGACAACAGUUCAUCAGGACUAUCCUGAAAAUCAUACUAGAGCACUAGACCUAUCCAAGGUAAAAAAAAAACUUCCCUGUCUGCUCAUCCAAAUACCCAACAUUACCUUGCUUUUUCAUGCUCUCGCAUAUGAAGUCAUAUUUUGGAUCUGCUUACCUCAUUACUGCAAAAUCUUAACACUGUUUUUCUAUCUACUUUACAGGUUCUCUUGCGACUUUUGGGGAGUUGUACAUUUUUUAGCCUUGUCGAGUCCUCCCUGUUUAUGCAAAGUUCACACAUGGGGAUCUUUUGUGGCAUCUUCUUACUGCACAUCAUACAUAAAUCUGGUAAGUACAUGCUCAACUCCUUCAACGAUAUUACGGAUACCUAGAUGUUUUUUUUUGAACCGAGAAAUAUAAAAAAAAAAAUCAACUUGAUCCUCAGCUGAUGCCAUUCAGAAUUUCCUUCUCUUCCUUCAUGAACGAUUUUAUAAUGAAUUCAAAAUUUUAUUUGUUGUGCAGAUAUUCUUAUGCUUGUUCUGGUUGGUUUCGAGAUAUUGGUCAUCAUUCACCAAAACUUGCUGGUGUACUUGUUAAGCUGUGAGGAUCAUAAUGUGGGAAUAACUGAUAUUUUGCUGAUUUGCUAUUGAAACUAAGGUGUGCAGUUUCUUCAGUUCGAUGCUAUAUUGAUAGGAUAGGAGGUGUACCUGCAUUUUUCAUAAGCUUUGGUGCUAAAUGAAAUUUUGUUAAUUACAGGAACUUUUUACAAGAAUACCUUUCUUACCAUGUCAGUGCUUGCGUCGAGCAGAUUGAGAUCUCGGGCUUUCACUAAAUGGUAUGCCUUGUCUAUUCACACUCUUACAGAAGUAUAAAAGGACUCGUGUAUUUGUCUUACGUUCCGAACUUUUUAGGCUGAACUAAGCUUCUUGGUUGCUGAAUAGACGUGGUCCGUGGACAACUUUGGAAUUGAACAAUGCAGCAGUAGCAGAUUUGUGGAAAGGUCAGUAAACCCCUGCUGAAAUUCGUGAUGGGUUUAGCUAUGUAGAUUGAAUUCAGUGUGCAAUUUUCGAACUCUUAUUGCCACAUGAGACCUAUGUUAGAGAACUUCCUGCUUUCUUGAUAAGUUGGCAGUCUAGCUUUUGAGCACACUCAUAAUCUCUGAAUGCAUUGUCAUGCUGAAUUAAGUUACACAAGAGAGUUUUCAGCUGAUACAUAUAGUGGUAAAGGUAGAGAACACUUGUUACUAGAUGAUUGAUGAACAUUGAUUGAGCAAAAAAAGACUUGAGCUUGCUAAUUUUUAUUCCUAGAACCUCCUGAAUUUAGUAUGGUGAAGGUGAUUUUAUUCUCUUCUUCAUCCCGAGUAUUUUGUUCUGUCCCACCAUUGCCAAAAACAGCAUAUUUCGUAAGUCUUUGAUUAUUGCAAUCUGAAUUUCUAGUGCGUAUUGUUAAGUUUGAUGUUCCUCUAGUCUGAAGUCUUUGAAAUCCAGUCAUUCCAUUUGCGUAACUUUUGUUGUCUAGCCUCUUCAACACUCGUCAUUGCAUUCCUUCAUCAGGAAACUCUGCUGGUGUACAUAUACAGAUCCCAGAAAAUAAACCAUUUCUUCCAUGUGUUCACACCAUACCUACCUAACCACCUACCUAUAAUCACAUCUCUCACUAUCCCACAGUAGUUGGUUAUUCCAUAAGCACAAAUGCACAAUCAUCAAGUUAAAAGAAGACUCAAAAGCGCUUUGUUGUCAUUGACCCUGCAAAUUUCAUCAUUAUGAAGAGCUAUAUUCGUUAAUAUUUAUGCCUCUCUCACAAAAGUCAAAAAAGUAAUAAAGAAAAAGAGUGAGGGAGGUCAUUCAAAAGAUUAAAGGUUCAUCCACAAGCAGGAAGAAAUAGUCAGCAGUCCUUCCAUAUUCAUGUACAGAAUGCAAAAUGGCUAAUCAAACUACUAUAUACCUAUGCAAUAUUGACAGCUGGAGUAUGAGUCGCAUCCUGAGACCACCUUGCAUUGCAUAGGCAUCUCAAUCAUUUCUUUGGCGUGAGUCCAUCCCUCCCACAUCCCCUGGACACUACCUUUCCCCAAUGACUGGAAUGUGAAGACUUCUCUGUACUGGAGUUGAACUCUUAUUUAGCUUUACAAUCUAGAUUUCAGAUUUGCUCAUUCUUUUAAUUCCCCUACCAAGAUCCAGAUAAGCUUCCACAAAUAUAUUGUAGAUAGGAAAACACUUUUGGCACUGGCUAGUUAGGAUUACAAUUAUGUGAUGAGAGUAAUUUCGGAUCAUGAUGAGGUAAUCUCACUAGAUACCUGCUCUUGAAAGGUUCACAAAGGAAUAAAAUUGUUGGCUACUCCUGUUUCCAUUUGUUCUUGACAUUGAAGUCAAACAACCAAGUGAUUAGUGUUCAGUAACUGUUAUAGCUAUAUCGUUGAUGCUGGUUACUCUCAAAAAAUGAAAUCCAUUCCCUACUGGCAAUGGAUUAGAGUAGUUAUUUAAGUGUGUGCUCAAUCGUUAGCUUGCUACUUUGACAAGUUUGUGGGAAGUGUCUCUGUCCGAAGCUAAUGAGGAUUAUAGUAACUGUUUGCACAUGAGCACUUGUUUGCAAUCUAGCUAUGCUAAGCUUUCAGGUAUUUCACAAGCACAUGGGUAGGUUGAAUCAGGAGCCUAAAUCAUCUGGGCACAAUCUGAGAGACUUUUUCUCGAGUGAAGAAUCAGAAAGGGAGAAGCCUGAGAUGAACCGUAACUUUUGUUUCUGUUUGUAGCCACUUCGUCCCUGAUAAUGCUAUAAGGAAGAGAGAAUGGUUUUUUCACACCUAGUACUAUUUUUCCUUGUAGCUUCAACCUGUAGCAGGUUUCAAUGAGUGGUAUGAAAACAGGUCAAAAAAUUUCAUUUGUUUUCUCGGUGUGGACAUGUAAAUUAAGGGAAAUGAAAUGCAAUUCUUUGCAAUAGUAUCUUCAUAUCUGAACCUAUGCUUGGGUAUCAAUUUUAGUUGCAUGUGCAACCGGAUAUAAAUAAAUAAAGACACGGUAAUGGUUCACUGCAGAAGCUUCCUGGUUGCCUUUUGAUAACCAAUUGGCAACCUGAACCAAUCACUCGUUAGCAUGUUGUUUUUCUUUCCUUAGGAAAAAACCGCGAUUUCUGUUUACGACACAAGAUUCGACAAGAUACACAGGGUUUUGUUGUAUGCACAGCCAUGAGCUGGAGUCUAUUGAAAAUAACAUAAUGUGACAGCAGUCACGGUUGAUCUCCUCCUCCUCUCUCGGUUUAACCCCGUUGAAGAUUUUUAGAAUCCCCAAAAACCUAAUAGAAUAAAAGAUACGGGGCUUUUAAGAUUUAGAGGGAAAAAUGGAAAAAUUUCAAACUUAGUAAUGACGCACCAUUUGCUAGGUGCGCCACUAGUAACAGAUAAAAAAAUUGGUUUCGAUUUUUUUUUUUGAAAAAAUGUUCAAAAUAUGAUACGUAAUAUGACUGGGAAGUUUGAAAUAUUUUUUAUAUGAAAAAUCAUCUACUUGAAAAGUUACACCUGAAUUCAACAGGGGGGACCCGUUGAAGAUUUUUAGAAUCCCCAAAAACCUAACAGAAUAAAAGAUACGGGGCUUUUAAGAUCUAGAGGGGGAAAAUGGAAAAAAAAUUCAAACUUAGUAAUGGCGCACCAUUUGCUAGGUGCGCCACUAGUAAUAGAAAAAAAUUGGUUUUGAAUUUUUGGUAAAAAUGUUCAAAAUAUGAUACGUAAUAUGACCGGAAGUUUGAAAUAUUUUUUUAAAAUUUCAUCACAUUCUUAACAUGAACAAAGUCCUAGACAUCAACAAGGUUUAAUAGGAUUGAUAUGAUAGAUAUAUCAACAAGUGCCUGUUAAGUGAGCUGGUGCUGGGGUUGAAUAGAACUGAUAAGCCAUGUUGUUAAAGCUGCUUCUAUUGGUCUAGUUUUAUCCAUUGUCGUUUCCAAGGGAUUGAGUCUUCGCCAGCUAGAUGUGAAUAAUGUGUUUCUUCAUGGUGUUCUGAAAGAGGAAGUGUAUAUGAAACAACCUUCUGGGUUUGAGGAUAAGAAUUCACCAUUUCAUGUCUGUAAGCUUGAUAAAGCCUUGUAUGGACUGAAACAGGCUCCCAGAACAUGGUACUCUCUCCUUAGUGCAAAGAUGCAGCAGCUUGGGUUUGUGCCAUCAAAAUCUGACACAUCCUUGUUUAUUUAUAACAAGUUCAAGACAUCCAUAUUUAUUCUCAUAUAUGUUGAUGCUAUCAUUGUAACUAGUUCCUCUAAUGAUGCAAUUGCUGGUUUGCUUAAGGAUUUAAGUUCAAAAUUUGCUCUAAAGGAUCUAGGGGAGUUGCAUUUCUUCUUAUGAAUUGAGGUAAAGAAAAUAAAGGAUGGUAUUAAUCUCUCCCAAGAAAAAUAUGCAAAUGAUUUGUUAAAUAGAGUUGGCAUGAAGGAUUACAAGCCGUCACCUACACCUUUGUCCAGCUCGGUGUCAUUGACUCUGACUCCAGGAGAACUCUUGAAUCAGGAAGAUAAUACCAGUUAUUGGAGUUUUGUUGGUGCUCUUCAGUAUUUGACUCUGACUUGGCCUGAGAUAUCAUUUGCAGUAAACAAAGUUUGCCGGUUUUUGCAUGCACCCACCACUGCACAUUGGACAGCAGCAAAGCGCAUUCUCAGGUAUGUGAAGAAUACAACCAGUCUUGGUUUAGCUUUUAGAAAAUCUUCAUCUACUCGUAUUAGUGCCUUUUCCGAUGUGGAUUGGUCGGUUGUCUUGAUGAUAGAAGAUCCACUGAUGGGUUUGCAAUUUUCUAUGGGCCAAACUUAAUUUCAUGGUGUGCCAAGAAACAAGCAACUGUCUUAAGGUCAAGUACAGAAUCAGAAUAUAAAGCAUUAGCAAAUGCAACAGCUGAGGUGAUUUGGUUGAUGUAUAUGUUGAAGGAACUUGGAAUUCAACAAACUUUGCCUCCUUGUCUCUGGUGUGAUAAUCUAGGCGCUACAUACUUGUCUGCUAACCCCAUGUUUCAUGCCAGGACUAAGCAUAUUGAAAUAGACUUUCACUUUGUGAGAGAACGAGUUGCAAACAAGCAGUUAGAAAUCAGAUUUAUCCCCUCCAAGGAUCAGCUUGCAGAUGGGUUUACAAAAGCAUUGUUAGCUAGAGGCUUUGAAGAGUUCAAACGUAAUCUCAACUUGGAGCGCAAUUGUAAUUAAGGGAGGGUAUUGGACAUAACAUAAUGUGACAGCAGUCAUGGUUGAUCUCCUCCUCCUCUCUCGGUUUAGCAUGGCUCGUGUGCCAAGGAUAGCUAGAGGUAUAGAUAGAGUUUGUUAUAGUUUAAAGUAGUUCGAGAUUAUAUCCCUUCUUCUGUUUCUACUCAAAUCGAACAUUGUAAUCCUCGGUUCUCUCGUUCUAUCAAUAUAAACCCGCAGGCUCUCCUCUGAAGGGUUGAGACGCUUCAUCAUCUUUCGCAAAGUCAGCAGAACACAGGCCCUUGCUGAAGAAGUAACAUCCUUGGAGUGGUUCAUCAGGGAGUACUCAUUGACUUGCGUCCAUUAAUAUACAGUAACGGGGAAACAUAUUGAACGAUCAAACUCUACUAACUGUUAGGAAUUAAUUAAUAAAUACAUUAAUUAAGGGAUAAUCCCUGCUAUGUCGGUUGCUUUAGUUUAGCAACUGCUCCUUGUAACCGCCUUUGUACUCGGGUAUAUAUACCCACAUCUUCAAUCAACGAGAGAGCGAUUUUCAUCAUUUGCUCUUCUUCUCUCUUUUAUUCUUCACAUGUUAUCAGCACGCCUCUGCAAGAGCGUUAGGCCACAUGACAAGAGAGAAGCAGCGAUGAGGCCAUGCUCGCCGUCGGCGAGACUAUGGUGCACGACGGAGACGGGGAUGCAACGCGGCGACCUUUGUCCCGACACUGCUCCUCCCGGCGCAGCACUCCAUGGCGUGUUGCGCCCAACGACGUGGCACCACUUGGUCUUGACCGAUCGGCAGAACCCGCUGCAGACGCGCUCCCAUCGCGGCUCCCGAUGACGAACGGCCAACAACCAGCGAUCGGAGCAACGAAUCCAUCCUUACACUGUCCCGGACCUCCUGUCCCCGACGCCGGCAGCAGUGAAAACUGGCGGUUACACCGCCGCUCCCGAUCUGAACAACGCCACCAAGGUGGAAGAAGAGGAGACGAAGGGCCAGGGCUCGUCGUCGACGCCGUCGCCUCCUCCAUCACCGGCGACAUCACUACCGCCUCCAACGCCACCCCUCCUCCCGACGCCUCCACCGGUGGUGCGCCGCAUCCUGCAGUAGUUCGCCGCGGCCAUGGCGCAGAUCCGCGCAGCCGUCCGGGGCGCGUGGUCGCCGGUGGCCCUCACCCUCACCGACGCCCCCGGGUCGAGCAACAACGGCGGGGGCGGUGCGGUGACAAGGGGAUCACGCCACCUCCCUUAAGACGACGGCAUGGGGUAGGGGAGGGCCGGCGUGGUGAGGUGUUGUGCACCAGAUCGAUCUGAGAGUGGGGAACGGGUGUAACGACGUGGGGAAACCCUCGUCCGUGCGCUCCUUAUCCUUUCCUUUGUGGAUGCAUGGGCCAGCCCAAGUCAUAACGUUCCUCACCCAAACAGGCCUGCAGCCAAGAAUUCCAAUAAAGUGGAUGCGCGUUGUGGUGUUUUCAACAAAAGAUAACCAUAGUAUUACCAUAUUGCACAGCAGCAUGUUCCUUUUAUUUCAUUGUGAUUUCUUAUUGUAUUAAGAACCUAUUUUUAUCAUAUUCAUUCAAUAUUGUAUUAUACGUUUGAAUAUUUAGACUAUGUAUCGUCUAAAAUAAAAUCUCGAACUAUGUGUACAUAUUCUAUAUGAUUGCCUCAGCAUUUUUUUUAGAAUAUGUAAUUCUCAAAUACAACAUUUUUUUACAAUUCAAAUUUUGGGAUCACAAGGUAGAUGAGGCAUCUACUGCACUUUGCAGAUUAUCCUCAUCGAUGAAAGAUCUACAUUUGCCUCCUUCUUUUGGCAAAAUGACUAUCUUCGAGUGCUCUCCCGAAUAUGUGAAUUGAUGUGACUACCUCAACUUUUUGCGAAUCACAAGGUAAUUGUGCGAUCUACUGCAUAAUUUGCAGACUAUCCACUAUUACUGCAAGGUCUACAUCAUGUCACAUUGACAGAUGAUUACCUUUAAAGUAAUUUUACAGAUUUAGCAUAACAUAAGGUAAUAGAAUUAUAAACAUCUACUGACAAAAGUUAGACUAUGUUUUCUAUUACUAAGAGAUCUAUACCAUAUUGGUGAUUAUCUUCAAAGUGUCAUCCUAUAUAAAUUGAGGUCUACACAUAUGGCUAUAAGGCAUCAGCCGUACUAAAAUUUGCUCCUCUGAAGCAUUUAUUGUUGUUGUUCACUAAAAUAUAUUACGCUCAUAGUAAAAUAUCAUUCAUGCAUAGUCACUACAGGCUGAAAUAGUAUUUUUGUGCCAAUAUGAAUUAUUCAAGCCUCAAUUUUCUUGAAUAGGUCUUCAGAAAUUAUGCAAAUAUUUGCAUACUCCAACGAUUACCUUUUAUUACAUUGGUAAAAUGCAUGGCACUGAAGCCGAUGUCAUUAUUUCUAAUUACAGCGACGUUCGUCCAUCAAGACGGGUACCAUAAUUUAUGGCAACGAUUGAGUGUAUCAACACUUCCGGAAGGUCCACAUCAAAAUGUGGUUAUACUUUCAUAGUUACUAACCAAUGUUAAACAUGCAAAGUCUAUACAUUUUGGAGUGAAAUAAAAUCUCACACUUCCUCAAGAAUGAAGUCCAAAACAUUAGCAAUGAUUUCAUCGCAUGCACUAUAUUGAAGGUUUACACCCCAUGUUCACCAAGCAUCACCUUGGCGGAUUUUGGUCAACAAGAUCAUUUCAUCCAUAUAGUUUAUUUUACUCCAAGAAGUAAAUUAAAUAAUGCAUGAUCAUUUCAUGUAACACAUGGCUAUUCUAUUGAUGCACAUAUGCAUUUUAUAUGUCACCAACUUCACUUGGUUCUCGAACUAAGUACACAAUGAAUGAAUACAUAUUCACCUUGAAUAUUCGCUUAAGAGAAACAUGCUACCAUGAGCACAUCGCGAAUGAUCUCCCAUUAGUUUUUUCAAAGACAUCAAGUCUUAUCGUGACUCACAAUUAUGUCACCUUAAUCAAUUUCAAGUUGAGAUCUCAUGAUCAAAAUCUUCAUAUGCAUAUCCGAUUGAAAAUCCAUUAAUACACUUUACAUCCUCUAAUGAUGGUGCUACCAUUUUCCAUGAUGAAGGAACAUGGAAUUUCUCAAAAUCAUCAUAUUCACCCAACGGGUGCUAUACCAUUAUUUCAUAUAUUUGCUAGUAGUGAGAAUACUAAGCAAGUCACUGAUCACAAAAUAAAACCAUGAGGAAUUCAAAGUAAAGUGGAGGCUAAAGACAACCAAUGACAGAACUACCUUUUAAUUAGGAAUUGAUCAUUUUUAAUGAUCACAAAGACAACUCUCAAGUUUGCGUAAUUCAUUUUUCAGUAAUAUGGGAGACCUCAUGUAAUAUCCUGAUUAUUCCCAAAAUAUUGUUUGCCUGUACUUAUACUACUACAUGUAGUGCAAUAUCCAAUAUCCUAUUUCUUGGACAUUAUAUUUGAUAAAAGUUUUGAAUGCAUGAAUCAUAUCAUACUCAGUUUUGUUGCGUACAAAAUAAUUUUCUAAAUCUUACAGAAUAUUUGGCUUUAAGCCUUACAAUCCUGGUUUGUGGUUGAUUAGAAAAAAUAUUGGCAAUUCUAUUGGUCACAACUUUUUAAGUUACAAUAUUUCCCAAAUCAUCAGAUUUUAUAUGCACUACAUGUGCCAUAGGGAAAAUAAGUUUUAAGGCUCUUUCACCUUACAAUUCCAAACGAGCCACUCAUUCUUCCUUGAACACAUUCAGAAGAUAUGUGGAUUACUCAACCAUUAUGUUGUCCUAUAUAGAUACUUCAUGGCACUCAUGGGAACAUUUAUAAAAUGAUUUCAAGUGUGUCUCUUGUCACACAGAACCAUGAAUGACCUUACCAAAUUAAUCGCUCAACUUAUCAAAGUAAGAGCAAAUUAUCCUGGACAACGGAUAUACCCAUUUGAAUGGACAACUUCGUUGAGCUCAUUUCACAAGAAAUAUCUGAUUAUAUAUAAUACUUAAUGUACAUACACAGAAUGGUUUAGUUCAAUAUCUUAUCAAGGGUAGUGAAAUUAGUAAUAUGACCAAACUUAUAGAUUUGUAAUUUACUAGCCUCUUGCUAGAUAAAUACGACAUUACACGCCGUAAGUAUAUGAUAUAAAUCAUACCCUUUGUAGUAAUUAUGUGGAAAUCAACAAAGUAUUUCCUAUCUGCGAUAAUUCGGUUACAUACCGAUAUCACCACUCCAACAUACAUCAAUGGGCCCUCACAAAAACUAAUAAUAAUUAGGGAUCUAUGUGAGGAAUAACAAUUUAUCCGUCAAUCAAAAUUAUUCAUAGCCCGUAUGCUGAUUGCUUCAGCAAUAAGGACAUUUCUGGCAUUAGGGGAGAUAAGUACCACAAAGAAUGCCAAAAAUAAAUUAGAAAUAUUGUUCAUAUUCAAUCCUUAUAUCCACAUACUCAAAGAAUCUGAAUAAGAAGUUUAGAAUCACAUAUUUGCAACACAUUGCAAAUCUGCCACAUGCAUUUACUGAUGACAAAGGUGUCACUCAAAUUUAUAUUCCUACAAUAUAGUGUCAGAAAGAGUGGAGGUACCUGAUAAACCACUCUUCUCCCCAAAUGAGAGCAAUAGGGGGAGAAAUCUAACCACAUGAGAUAUAAUCUCGCAUAUGCUUCCGCGGAAACAGAGGAAAUCAAAUCCUCAACCAGUAAAUGUAAUUCAACAUCAAGUUGAAAGACACCUCACUCGAUGCUCAUCAUCCAAAGCCUGACAUAAAUGUGCACAAAUGUUUUGGUGUGAGGACAUCGAAACACCUUGACUCCAUUGUUGUAGGAAAUCACAAGGAGUUAAAAGGAAUAAAUACAUUUCCACAAAUUUCAUUGAUUCCUCGCGAAUCAUAUAACAUAAGUCUACAUUUAUCGACAUAUAUUUCUUCUCAAAAAUUGCUAAAACCUUUUGGGCCCUGAACCAAAAUCCAUGAUAGAGUGCCUCUUGUGAUCAUAUUGGUUCACAUAAAAGGAAGCAAGUACUGAAGAAUAGCACUCGCUCUACAAACGAGUGGUAUUUACCACAGUAAUAUCUACUCCUCAUAAGUAUCUUCCAUAUGGAAUACUAAAAACUUCUCAUUCAUAGACAAAGUCAAUGAGGUGGUGAGAAAGCGAGGCUUAUAGCAAAAGGGUUCACGCAGAGACCCAACAUAAAAUUAUGAUGUAACAUACACUCUUGGUAUGAGUGGAAUUAAGUUUCGAUAAUAAAUAUCAUUAGCAGUACAAAUAAUAUUAUCCAUGCAGUUAAUGGAUGCAGUAACUACAUACUCAUAUGAGUUACUCAUUUUGGAAAUUUAUAACGAAGUCCCUGAAGGGCUUACAAUUCCAAAUCCAAAAUAAAUCGCAACAUAUUUGUGUAAAAUUUCAGAAGUCACUCUAUGGCUCAAAAUAGUCAAAAAUAAUAUGGUACUACAGACUAAAUGUUUUUCUUCUUCCGAAGGAUUACUCAAAGAAUGAUGAUUGUUUAUGUGUUAACAAAGGAAUCCCAAAUUUGAAUUCCUUAUAUCGCCUCAUUGUAUAUCGAUGAUUUCAUCAUCUAUGUAUCUACAAGACCUAAACAUACAUAAAAUCAUCUCAAGACGGAAAAUUUAGAUUUAACCAAAUUUAGCUUAAGUUUACAACCUGGGCAUUCUAUCAAGAAUACGUAUUAGUCUACAUAUAUCCAAAACAUAUACGAGAAGUUCAGUGUGGAUAUAUCAUAAUAACAAAAGACAUGUAUAGUCAUACUACCUUUGAUAAGGUACAAAUUCAUUCAUACCUAGGGGUGAUGUUGAAGUGAUACUAGGACCUGAAGUUCUAUAUCUCACUAAUGUCAAAGGACUCGUAUACUUGCAAACUACGUCAAGCGUGACACUAUAUUUGCUAUCUUUAUUCGGAGUGCAACCCCCAACAAUAGGUAUAUGAUUGAUAUAAGUAAUAUCAUAUUAUAUCUGAAGAUUUUAGUAAAUCUUGGAUAUUUCCAUCAGGAAAUAGAACAUAUGACCAUGAUACGAUGUAAUGAUAUUGGCUCUUUAUUUGAUCCAAACAACACCAUGUGAAUGACUGAAUUUGCUACAAUAGCCUACAUAUGGAAGUCAUGUAAAUAUGACUUUAAUGAUUAUUCCCACUUAUCAUUUUGACAUAAUUGCUUUAUCUAAAAGCAUUGCAAGAUAUGUAUGGCUUGGCAGAAUGAUUUACCACAUUCAAAAUCAUGUGGUUGAGAUUCAUCAGAAUCACAUAACUUGAUUUAUCAAGAUACUUUCACUUGUGUUACUCAAUACCUAUAGGUUAUAUGAAGAGCAAUAUCAUAAAUCACAUUACUCGGAAAUUACUUAUCCUCACGGAUUAUAGAAAAGUGAGGAAAUAAUUUGCAAAUAAAAUACUAUGAUAAUCCAAGAGAUUAUACACAAUCUCAUGUUCAUGUCAAUGGAAUUGGUAUGUGACAUCCUCCAUAUUUGCAAAGUUCACGAGGAGUAAUCUCCCAAACUAUAACCUAUUAACAAUCAUCAGAUUGCAUAUAUUGUAUGCCUUUUCCCUUGAUGAGUUUUUUUUCCUAAUGGUUUCUCAUAAAAGGUUUUUACCGAGACAAUAUAAACACAAGUGUUUGUAUAUACCAUAUCAUUUUCUCCUUAUAUUUUUCCCACUGGAUUUUAAACGAGUUUUCAAUGACAUGUCAGAUGCACUCUUUUCCUUUAUGAGUUUUCUCUCAAAGUUUAUCAUAAUGGUUUUUAAUGAGGCAAUAUGUUAUCAAACAUCAUAUGUUAUACUUUCUAUUUUCCUUAUCGGGGUUUUUAAAGAAAGUACUCAAGACAUAUCAAUUAUUCUCUAAACUCACCAAUGAGUUUUCUCCUUCUACAAAGGUUUUCUCAAAUGAGUUAUCACGAGACAAUAAUCAUUAUAUGUUGUAUCAUUUUCUCCUUAUUUUUCUCACGGGGUUUAAAGGAGUUUUAGCAACAUAUCUAUACUAUUCUCCUCAUAUUUUUCCCACAGGGUUUUUGGAGGAGACGUUAAAGAUUAUACAACGAUUUCUCAAGAUGAAGAUGAUGAACAUUCUCAAAGGCAAGAACAUACAAGGAGUAUAUUUAUCAAGAUGAUGCACAUUUACAAAGACAAGCAUUGAUUAGGGAAAGUGUUAGGAAUUAAUUAAUAAAUACAUUAAUUAAGGGAUAAUCCCUGCUAUGUCGGUUGCUUUAGUUUAGCAACUGCUCCUUGUAACCACCUUUGUAUUCGGGUAUAUAUACCUACAUCUUCAAUCAACGAGAGAGCGAUAUUCAUCAUUUGCUCUUCUUCUCUCUUUUAUUCUUCACACUAACCACGAGGUGAUAGAUUCGAGCCAAGUCACCCAUUUUUCAGUUUCGCAAUGUACGUCUGCUCUGCUUCCUCUGCCUACGCGGCGGCUCUUCCGCCACUAUCACUAAACUACGACUGAUCUGAAGCGAUGCCGCGGCACCGACACCGACACCGGCCGGUUGGACCUGGAAUGCUCACGUGGCUCUUCUGCGUCCAGGUCAGGAAGGAAAACAACGCCUUGCCAGUUGCCACGUGAACGUGAGGAGUGCAGUGAGCAGCUCAAGACUGAAUGAAGACUUGGUGUGAUAUUUGAAGCUGAGCCUUUCUUUUCCUAUUUCGCUUGCGCCACCGGGUUCUUAGCUGACAGCGACUUGUUAAGUUCCAUCAUAUCCGUUGGAGCCAUCGCUACAUUUGUAGCCACUCGUCAAAUCCUUUCUACUAGUACUCAGCUGAGCUACCCAGCUCAAUCUUUUCACUUUUCAGAUUUUUCAUUUUUCACAUGAUGCCUCUCUGCCAGAAUUUGUCCUUGGUGGUUUAAUUUCUGAGAUUUUACGAAUCCGUGCGAUGGUAAAGCUUUGUCAGGACUUUCACCACCGUGCACCGUACCCGCAAAGCCAUCGCUCACGGACAGGUCUCAGACGAAGCCUAAGAGCAAUUCCAACGCACCAAUCCAAACGGACGACUAUUUGUCCAUAUUUUGUCCAUUUAUAAAUCGGCCCGAUAGACAUCUGGAUCUCUUUUUGAAAUUGAUUCGUCACUUGCUCCUAACACGGUCAAUGACCCAUGUUUAGACGACACGAAAAAGUCAUAAGAAACAUUUUAAAAAUACAUGAAAUAUUAAUUAACAUUUAAUGCCGGUUUGGAAGGUCGGUGAUAGUCCACGUUACAUUAAACGUACAAUUAAAUAAACUAAAAGUGAGGAAGCGUGCUGCCUUAGGCAUCCUCCUCCUUGUCGUCAUUGGGGCCGGUGAGGUCGACGAGCGUCGGCGCCGGGCCAGUCCAGGGGAAGGUCAUCUCCCACGUGGCGGAAACGUCAUCCGUCGAUGGUUGCACCGGCGCUUGCUGGGUAGCACGUCGCCCCUCCUCCUCGGCUCCGGACUCGCGCAACAUCAACUCGAUCUGUCGGGCCUCUGCGUCCUCCUUCCUCACCCGCGUCGCACCCAACCAGACGGGGGCACACUGACCCACUCACGCACCACCCCGUCCUAGGCACCACCCCGUCCUAGGCGUACAUCUCGGGCAUGAGGACCAGCAACCCUGACUCGGAGGGAGGCGGCGAUGCCAACAGUGGCAGGACGCAGUCGCCAAUAGUGGAGAGCGCAAUGGCCUCCGAUAGCUGCUUCUUGUAGGCCUCCUUCUCCUCCUCCUUCUUCAGGCGCACCUCCUCCUCGCUCGCACACAGGACGACCGCCAGGGCGUUCUGGUACGCCACGUCCGCCUCCUGGUCUUUUUCGUGCAUGACGAGGGGCGACGGCGGCCUAGCCACCACCUCGUGGACUAAAAUGUAGUUUUGGCUACGAGUGUUAUGUUCCAUAAUUGAGCGCUCGAUCUUAACACGAUCGGGGUUGUUAUGGGGACCCCCUUGAUAAUUCGUUUUAGUUUAAGACUGGUUUGGCAAGGCCCAACUUUGAUACUACAUUUUCCUAAUAAUUAAUGAACCUCAUAGGGAGUAAUUAACCCGAGGAAAUUUAAUCAACCCCGGGCCAGUGCUCCGCAUGAGUGUUGGUCCAAACUGGCACACUACGGGGCCACAGCGGGGCAACCCGAGGUUUGGUUUUACUCCUAGUGUGACCCAUCCGUCGUGUCCCGAGAACGAGAUACACGGCUCCUAUCGGGAUCGUCGACACAUUGGGCGGCCUUGCUGUAUUAGUUUUACUUUUGAUGAAAUAUCUUGUGCAUUGGGAUUCCGGUGAUGCUUUGGGUAAUCUGAGAGCUGAGGUUUUCCACUAAAGAAUCUGAGGAGAUAACGAGUUUCGUGAUCGAGGCUUUCUAAGCGGCUUGUGGUAAUUUGUGAUGGACUAGUUGGAGCACCCCUGCAGGGUUAAAUCUUUCGAAAAGUUGUGCCCGCGGUUAUGUGGCAACGUGGAAACUUUGUUUAACAUCCGGUUCUAGAUAACUUGAAGUAAGCUUAAUUAAAACUUGCCAACUGAGUGUGUAACCGUGACUGUCUCUUUUCUGAGCUCCUUCUCCGAUCGAGGACACGGUGGGGUUAUGUCUGACAUAAGUACGUGUUCAAGAUCAUUAACUUGAUCAUCAGUAGUUCACAUCCGCUAUGCGUAGAUCUUCUCCCUCUUUUAUUCUUGUACUCGUAAGUUAGGCACCUCAAAUAAAUGCUUAGUCACUUGCUGCAGCCUCACCACUUAAUCAUACGUCACCCAUUAAGCUUUGCUAGUCUUGAUACCUUUGGAAAUGAGAUUGCUGAGUCUCCUGUGGCUUACAAAUUACUACAACACCAGUUGGUGGCACAGGUAAAGAGUUACUUUGACGUGAGCGCGUCGAUUGUUCUAUUUGGAGUUCUUCUUCUCCUUCUUCGAUCUAGGAUGGGUUCCAGACCGGCAGCCUGGGAUAGCAAAGAUGGACGUCGUUCUUUUAUCGUUUGUUUUCGUCCGUAGUCGGAUCAUGCUCUUCUUCAGGAUGACUGAAUAUUAUUGUAUUAAUGUGAAUUUGAUGUAGCUUGUGGCGAGUGUAAGCCAAUUCCAUAUACUAAUCUUUUCAGUACAUGUACUUGUAACGAUAUCCAUUCUUGCAAAACGACGAGAUGCGUUUAUAUCCCUGUCGAGGCCCUCGCGUCAAAAUAAGGAUAAGACCGCAUCUUGGGCGUUAUCCCUUGAUACUUGCACAUUUGGCUUUACAAUCUAGAUUUAAGAUUUGCUCUUUCUUUUUUACCUUACAAGCUCCAAAUGAGCUUUUCCACAAAUAUAAAGCAGACAUGAAACACUUCUGCCAUUUCCAAAUGAGGACUACCAUUAUGUCAUGAACGUAAUUUAGGAAUGAUGGCAUGUUCUUGGAAGAUUAGCGAGGGAAUAAAAUUGUCGGUUGAUUUUGGUUUCUUCUGUUUUUGACAUUGAAGCCAAACAACCUAGUGACAUAGUCUUUGAAUACUUUGAUCGCUGUGUUUUUUAUGUUGUUCACUCCCACAAAACUGAAACCCGUCCUCAGAACUCUCGGGUUCCCUCAUGGCAAUGAAUGAAGUUGUCAUUUAAGCUUGUGCUCAAUUGCUAGAUUGCUACUUUGAUAAGUUUUUGUGGCAUGUUCCUCUGUCCCAAGUCUAUGAGAACUAUAAUAAUAGUUUUCACAUGAGCACUUGUUUGCAGUCUCUCCAUGCUAAGCUUUCAGGAAUUUUAGAAGUAAAUGGGCGCUUUGAUUCAGCAGCGCGGGUCGUGUGAAGAAAUUUGGUCUGCCAUGCAAUGCACCGCGGUCCGCAGAUGUUGUUUUUUUCCUUUCCUUGAAUGGCGAAUCAGUAAGGCCUUGUCUGGUACUAGUGUAUUUUAGGGAAUUAGUGGGGAUUAUCCCAGUCAACCCCCUAAAUCCCCACAUAUCCCAUAACACUAUUUGGUUUUAGUGUAUUUAACAUGUUUCAUCCUCACAUUUCCCCACAAAUCCUCAAAUUCUAGUGCAUUAUUCUCAAUACACAAUACACUACCCCUAGCUAGUGGAUUGGGGAUAAAUGAGGAUUUGAAGGGAUUGGGUGAAGGUUGGGAUUUCGCUCAAUCCCUAUAAGGAUUAUCCCCACCAAUCUUCUCAAAAACCUUAGUACCAAACAAGCGUAAGGGAGGAAGAAGGCUGAGAUAAAUCAUAGCCCUGUAUCUCCAUUUGUAGCAAUAAUGUAUAGUGAAGAAAGAAUGUGCAAUGCUCCCAUGUGUUUCUUUCAUUAAUUUGUACUAGCUUCUGUAGUGCCUGGCCUAUGAAUCAAUUGUACUAAAACGGACCAAUCUUUUGAUUCACUCUUGUCAGUAUGGACAUCUAUUUUCAUCGUCCACAAUUCUUAUUUCGUUGCAACACCAUCGUAUCACAACCUGUUGACUGCUGUGUUGUUGGAUGUCACACUGAAUGCCUGUUCAUGCAGAGUAGUUUGGACUGGAAGAUAUUUUAAAAAUCUACUCCAGUAGACAUGAGUCCUCUAAUUUAAAAAAAAUCUAUUCCAAAUUUCCAAUAGAUACAAAGAGAAGUGGAAAAGAGUAGAACGACCCACGCGAAUGAAAACAAGAUUUUUUUUUUGAAAAGGAGGAACUUAGCCCCGGCCUCUGCAUCAAUUGAUGCAUGCAGCCAUCUUAUUAAAAUAGGUUCAAAACAAUGUCUUAGCUCCACAAGUUUUUGAAGCUCAAUAAUGAAAAGAAAGAUAAAAUGAAAAGCAAACUGCCAUAUCCGGCGUCAUUAAAAGCAGACUACGAUGCCUAUACACCUAGUCUAUUAUUAGCACGCCAUCCAAACCGGCUGAAGAUAGCCCGUGCGACCAUCUCCCAUCGGUUGCAUCCAAUAUCCAUAAGCUCCCUGGAGUCCGCAUGACUGAGUAACGACCACGUAUGGAUCCAAGACGCCGCUCUGAAGAUAAUCUGUAAAAAGUUGUUGAAGUUCUUGCCAUUAAAGAUGAUAUCAUUCCUGGUAUUCCAUAUAGCCCAAAAUAAAGCACAAACCCCAAUUCUGAUAAUUUUCGAUAUUUUAAUGUCCACUUCAUUGAGUCACGUUGUAAGUAACGAAGUAAUGUAUGAAGGAGGGGAAACAUUAAAGGCUAUAUGAACAAUGCGCCAUAGUAGUUUUGCAAGAUUGCAGUCUAGAAAUAAGUGUCUUAUUGUUUCAUUGUUAUCACAACAACAACAAUUAGGUCUCCCUCCCAUCUUCUUUUUAUUAAGUUAUCUUUGGUUAAUACCACCCCUUUGUGUAUGAACCACAUAAAAAAUUUAAUCGUGAGAGGCACUUUGAUAUUUCAAAUAUGUAGUGAUUUGGGUAGUGGUCCGGUGUUAAUGAGAUGCGUGUACAUGGAUUUUACUGAGAAUUCACCAUUCGCAGCUAAAGUCCAGCGAACACUAUCUGUCUGGUCAGAUAAUUGUAUGUGCAUCAGUCUGCUAACCAGAUGUAACCAUUCGUUCCAGCGUGCUCCCAGCAAAGCUCGCCUGAACUGCAUAUUAAGAGGUACCGACUGUAGUACCGUAGACACAUAGUCUUGUUUACAUUGUGCAAUAUUAUAAAGCAUUGAAUAUUCUAGUGCUAAAGGAGUGUCCCCAAGCCAAGUAUCUUCCCAAAAUCUUGUUGAGGUACCAUCCCCAACCACAAAUUUGACCUUCUGAAAAAAGUGACCUUUAUCUUCAUUAACCGUUUCCAGAAUGGUGAGUCGUUUGGUCUAGAUGUAACCUGCGCUAGUGUCUUGGAAUGUAAGUACUUAUUCCUUAAUAUUUGAACCCACAUCCCCUCGGUCUCUGUGGGAUAUCCCGUAUAGCCAUUUGCUAAGUAGGCAUUUGUUAUUUACUUUCAGAUUUUCUAUUCCCAAAACCCCUUGAUAUAUUGAUCUACAUAUAAUAUCCCAACGUGUCAACCUGUAUUUCUUCUUAGCCUCCUCACUUUUCCAGAAAAAAUGAGAUCUGUAAAAAUCUAAUCUUUUUCGUACCCCUAUUGGUACUUCAAAGAAAGACAAUAGGAACAUGGACAGACUUGUUAACACAGAGUUUAUUAGUACUAGCCUCCCCCCGUAAGACAUAAGCUUGCCCUUCCAGCAACUUAGUUUUAUUUCGAACCUAUCUUCAAUACAUUUUCAUUCCUUAUUCGUCAGACUUUUAUGAUGAACAGGAAUCCCCAGAUAACUAAACGGUAGUGAUCCCAUUUCACAUCCAAAUAGCCGUCUGUAAGCAUUUUGCUCCUCUUUUGCCUUCCCAAAGCACAAGAGUUUGCUUUUAUUGAAAUUAAUUUUCAGCCCCGAAAGAUGUUUAAAUAAACAUAAAAGUAGUUUCAUAUUCCUCGCUUUAGCCAUAUCGUGUUCCAUGAAAAUUAUCGUAUCAUCCGCAUAUUGUAGUAAUGAUACACCCCCAUCUACCAGAUGCGGAAUAAGGCCUCCCACUUGACCCUUUUCUUUGGCCCGAUUAAUGAGUAUUGUCCACAUGUUUGCUACAAUGUUGAACAACACUGAGGACAUGAAAUCAUCCUGUCUUAAUCCUUUGUGUGUUUUAAAGAAAUGGCCAAUGUCAUCGUUAACUUUAAUCCCCACACUGCCUUUCUGAAUGAAAGUAUCAACCUGAUCUCUCCAUCUUUCAUUGAAUCCUUUCAUACGUAAGGCCUGUUGAAGAAAUGGUCAUUUCACUUUAUCAUAUGCUUUUUGGAAAUCCACUUUAAAGAUAAUCCCAUCUAGUUUCUUUGAAUGAAUUUCGUGCAGCGUUUCAUGCGGGACAACAACACCCUCUAAGAUGUGUCUCCCGGGCAUAAACGCCAUCUGCGUUGGUUGGACUACUGAAUGAGCUAUCUUCGUUAACCUAUUCGUGUCAACCUUUAUAAAAUUAUUGAAGUUGACAUUGAGCAAACAUAUCGGUCUGAACUGCUCUAUGCGUACAACCUUCGUCUUCUUGGGCAAUAACGUAAUUGUUUCAAAGUUAAGAUGUAAUAGCUGUAACUGGUCAUUAAAUAAAUUUUGGAACAUAGGCAAUAAAUCUUGGAAUGAAAACAAGAGUUGAUGUCUCUUUUUCUAAUAGAUACAGAGAGAAGUGGAAUAGCAUUGUAUCUCAACCUGCUGACUGUUGUGUUGUUGGAUUUUGAUGUCGCUCAGACUGGUUGCUUGUUCAUGUGGAGAAAGAGGAUUGAAAAUGUUUAUUCCAAUAGAUAAUAACAGAGAAAAAUGAAAAAGAGUAGAACGACACAGGCGAAUGAAAACACGAGCUGGUCUCUCUGUUUUUAGAAGAAGAAAAAAAGAGAUCUCAUGUUCUUUUUUUUAAGGCAAAAACAGAUCUCAUGUGGACUCGGUAGCCAAUCUUGGGCUAUUAUCCGUGGGCCUGACUUACGGGUCUGGGCCUUGCAGGGCUAUUCGGGCUCUUGUUGGUCCUGUCAUCGUUUCCCUUGGAAAGAAAAGAAACCCUCCAGUCGUCGCCGGUGACGAGGUCCACAAAAUACACAAGGCGGGGGCCGGCGACGGAAGCUAUGGGCUCUGGAUUCUCCUGCGUGAUCUCCGCACGCGACUCCACUCGGUAAGCCCUCCUUCUCUUCCUGGCCGGCGCACGGACCUACAGUUAUUUUGCAAUAUUUGGGAAGGAUUCCUCUGUUUCGUCAUUUUUUUUCUUCGAAAAUCUGCCCCUAGGAUCUCUAUUUUUCAUUAAAAAGGAAGAGGGUUGUCCGGUUGAUAAACGAAAAACGGGCUAAAACCGUUACAACAACCCACACAUGGCAAACCGGCGGACUACAAAGGCUGCAGAGAAGAACCACAAAGUCAAGGUCGUCAGGGUUUCGAUGCAAGCUUCAGAUUCAGACUGCCUGUGUUGCAUGCUUUUAUAGAAAGAAAGAAUAACUGACAGAGUAGUAAAGCUCAUUUGCCCUUGCCGGUGACCAAAUCAAAGAAUCGCUUCAGCCUCGGACUUAAUCCUUUCUUGUCCUACCUAUCAGAAGCAAGCAGACAAGGUGUUCUAAAGCUGAAGCUGCACUUAAAAGGUGACUCACAUCACCUUCAGAAUCAGCACUGCCACACGAUUCCUUGUGAUGGUUACCCCUUGCCCACUAAUUCCUUUCCUCUGUUUACAGAAAGGCAUGCUACCGGAGGCGAGCAAGCAUAUAUGCACAAAUGCUUUGCUUCAUCACCCCACAAAAAGAGAAACAGAAUACGUGUUGCCUUUGUUUUCUUGCCUUGUAGUGUUUGCACCAAACAUAGGAUCAACAAAGCAUCAAUAACUCUCACUGUUUGCAUAACAAGAAUUUUAUCAGCUCACUGCUAGGUGCCGAUCGAUGAUGGAUUAAUUACCCCAUUACCGUCGAAUUCCAGUUGAUGAUCGACGGCAUUAUUUUGUAAUUCUGUGAAUCUUAGAAACAGGUUUGAUGUACCCAGCGGCAUCGGGUACUAUACAUGUUGUGUAGUAUUAGUGGUGCCCGUCACGAGAUUUAAUAAUGCAAGUCUUUGCUUGUUCUCCCUGUUUCGCAUCUGUAAAUUUUAAGCUUCUUGCACCUAUAAAUAUCGCCUCCCAAGCUUCUUGCAUAUCCGCCAUCUACCCUCUCUGAUAACAACACUUUGCAGUGCAGUGUGGCCUGACCUCCGGUUCUCCUGGUAAGCAUACAUGAAAUUAUUUUCAAUGAACAUUAGUACUCCAAACCCUAGCGAAUAGAUUAAAUUCAAAAUAGGUUCCAAACUCCAACAUAGACUUGGUGCAUGAUUGAGAGCCGAGUCUUGUUUCUCUAUUCACUGGGAUUAGUUUAAUUCAUAUAUCACUUUCCUCCUCUUCUGUUCUCAUGAAUGCUCGUGCCUAUAUAUAGCCUCCCUUCUGCUACGCACAACUCCCACACACACACACAUCUGCCAUCCAUCUGCCCAAACCCUCUCCGACUUUCUGCCAGUACGUGAACUCAGCUGUGAAGACAUUCGAAGUUCUUACCGUUGGCGACCCGGCACGCGGAAGCGCAAGUGUAUGUAUGCCGUUCUACUUUUUUCUCUGGUAGUGGAUAUUAAAUAUUAAUGAAUCCAUAUUACUGUCUGGUUAUGGUGACUAACUGCAUUUGCAAAUGAAUUCAUCUUCUUGAAUAUGCAGCAUACGUGAAGAUCGUUACUGGUACCACCUGUGCGGGCGUGAGAGAUGGAUCUGGCCCUUAACGCGGCGCAGUGGGUGGUUGGCAAGGCGCUUGCCCCAGUUGCCGAUGGCUUGCUCCAGUCUUGGGCUGGCAGCAACCAGCUCGGACCCAACAUGGAGGCUCUCAGAAUGGAGCUGCUACUCGUGAAGGCCACGCUGGAAAAUGCCGGUGACAAGCAGCUCGACGGCCGCCAAGCCCUCGAGGAGCUGCUGCAAAAGAUGCAGGACUUGGCUCAUAAUGCUGAGGACGUGCUUGACGAGCUGGAUUAUUUCCGCAUCCAUGACGAGCUCUAUGGCACCUGUGACGCUGCCAACGAGGACACUAGAGGUUGUGGCCACAAUGUCCUCCUGAAUGCACGCCACACCGCCAAAGCUGUUGGCAAGCUGCUUUCGUGUACAUCCGCUUCUACCUCUGGUGAUCACGUAGAAGAAGAUGCAACACAUCGUGUUCUUUGCUGCGCUCCACCUCGUGCCAGGGAGAGAGCACGCGGCAGUUCCUCCUCAGCGGCUGGUGAGGAGGUUAGCAGCCGCAUGAGCAAGUUUGGUAAAUUCUUCCCUUGCUCUUCCAUUCCAAAAGUUCAUGAUGAUGAUGAUUCUGGCAACUCAAUCCUUUCUGGUGUCCACGCACGCAAGGUACCACAGAACAACCCCGCUAACGAAACAACAAUCUUGAGAUUUCAUAGGGUGGAUGUCUCUAAUAGAAUGAAACAAAUUGUAGAGCAACUACGACCCAUGCGUCAAGAGGUUACAACCAUCCUGCGGGAUUGUAGGCUUAGAAUUGCUGCAGGCCCUGCCCAUAAUCGUCCCACCACAACCUCCGAAAGUCUAGAGCCAAAAUUGCAUGGGAGAGACCAUAUGUUGAAUAGCAUCAUCCAUGACAUUACUAAGGGUAAAUAUUGUGGG